CACUAGGAAGCUAAAUAGGGAUUAAGCAUUGGCCUUUUAAGCCAAAGAUUGGUGCCUCCCAACCACCUCUAGUGA
rnacentral:tRNA from 1 species